CAGCCCAACCAAUCACCCACUCA
rnacentral:siRNA from 1 species